rnacentral:lncRNA from 10 species
CCAAGCUCCCACUUCUCAAUUCCAUGACCGUCUAAUCUAAAGCCUGCACUGCUUGACAUUCACUUUCAGUUUUGCAUAUUGAUUUGUAACACCAAACGGGGAAAGGCUCCAUUUUCUGGGGACCAGCUUUGUUGGUAACAAAGAUACUGAAUCAUAGAGAGGAAUCAUUUUUGCAAGAUCACAGCUGACUGGGAAGUGAGGCUGCAACAGACCUGAAUAAAUAAACUUUCCAGGCUGGGUGUGGUGGCUCACACCUGUAAUCCCAGCACUUUGGGAGGCUGAGGUGUGUGGAUCAUAUGAGGUCAGGAGUUCGAGACCAGCCUUCAGAGACCAGCUCUGGCCCUCCCGGAUGCCUCUGUCUGCCCCCGCUUCGGCUGCUGCGCUGUGCCAGCAGGUCCCGCAGGGCUUCACAUUCCUCACUCAGGUCUUCCAUUCAAGAAAUGUUCAUUGACUGAUACUGAGCAGGCCACUGGGGUGAGUGGUCAAUAAGACCCAGCCGCCACACUGAAGUAAAGUUGGUGGGGAGACAGACCACAGUCACGCACCAUACAGGCCAUGAUGGGCAAAUGUCAAGGGUGUACGGGGCAGGGGCAUCACAGCUACGGCACCCAACCCAACCUGCAAGGUAUAGGAAGGAUUCCUGGAAAAAGGAACCACUAAGCUAAGACCACAGGGCAAGUGAAGCUCAGCCAGGCAAAGGGAAGACGUGGGCCCAAGCUGACUAGAAAGGCCCAGAGGCCAUCAUAAGACACUGGGAAGGGGAGGGGCCGGAGCAGUGCACAGGGG